UGUCCUCCCAGAUCAGGUUCCUUGUUGAGGAGCAGAAUUAGCCCCUGGAAUCUGGUGCACUUGUUACCUUCUGGUCUGGGAGGAGGCGGAGAGCAGCGAGCCAGAAAGAACAUAGGACACUACACAGCCUGCAGCAGCCAACCAACUAGCCGGUCGACCGGUCAGUCAGGCCACAGUUUCUCUUCAUGGUCACGGGAUCGCAGAGGAUCGUAUUCAGCGCAGCAAACAUAUUUCAAAGUGUGACGACACCGUUAUAGUUCUUUUUGGAGGGCGCUGGUCGGCACGGUAACCCGCAGAAGGUCGUGGUCUUCAAUGUGGAGCUCAGCCCGUUUGAGGUGAUUGGCCAUGCCGCCUGUCAGUCUAAAGACCCCGUCUACCUGGUGGGCUCAGAGCUUGAUGAUUGGCUGAGCCGCCUGUCAGUCUAAAGACCCCGUCUACCUGGUGGGCUCAGAGCUUGAUGAUUGGCUGAGCCGCCUGUCAGUCUAGGACCCCGUCUACCUGGUGGGC